rnacentral:misc_RNA from 1 species
CAGUUAGGAAUCAGAAAUGAAGCACCAUGUACAUAUGUACUUUAAGACACAGGCGAAUCCAGGAUCUAGAGUCAGUAGAUUCAAAAUGUUUUAUAUGACGGACAAGCCUGUAAGGUCUUCAAAAUCCUGUUAUUUUGAAAGGAGAUACAACACGAGACCAAAUUCGUGUCUUUCAGAGAUUCAACAUAUACAUAUACAUAGUUGAGCAGUGCAGAGUUUGAACUACAGAAUCUCAUGCUUUAAUGUUUUGUUAUAAAAAAAAAAAAUUAGAAUUUUGAGGGAAUUUUCCCUUGUGUAAAUUUUGUUCUUCCCAAGUUUUUUGUUGUAUGGUUUUGUAAAUUAUGAAAUUACUUCUUGAUACACAUUUCAAAGUUUGAUUUUAG